AAGCGAUUCGUCAACAACUGGGUGAACGGACAACCACAGGAGAAUAACCCACUGGGUAUGCAAACUGGUUGGGUUUUGGCUUUUUUUAAUGCUAAAAGAGGCGCUGUUUGAUUUUAUCUAUUCCUACAGCGGCCUGUCCUGUCGGAAACUCGCAGCUGCCCCCGGAGCAGCGGCUGCCCGGUCCCUGCGGGCCCCCCGCACCCCGAGCACCGCACGGACGCGGGGGGCUGAGGCAACACAGCGGGGACAAGCAGAGCGCAGGGAGAACGGCGCGAUCUCCGCACAGAGACCCGACGGGGAGGCCCCAAGCGGGGCCCGCUGAGGUGAGGCGAGCCCGGGAGAAGCUCUAGGGCAGACAGCACCUCGGCUUGAGGGAACGCGGGUCCCCCGGCAGGCCCCAGUAGCGGUGCGGUACGGCCCGGCGGAGCGCCUAGGCCGCGGGUGCGGCAGCGGUAGCCGAGCCCGCAGAAGCUUCCCAGAGGGAUCCCUCCCACCCGGGGACUGUCACCACCUCCGCCCGCCAGUUCGGAGGCGCAAGCUCCCGCCCCGGCCGCCCUCAGCCCCGGCCGGGCCGCCGACGCGGGGCUCCGGCUACUCACAGACGCCCAAGCCGGGUUCUUCCUUCCGUUCCCCCUCCCCCCCCUCCCACAGACCCGAAUAUGGCGUCACUGGCGGGGGGAAUCCGCUUCCCUUUCCGGGGCGCCGCCAUUUUCUCUGCCCGCCCCGCCUGUGGCGACCGGCCGUCCCCAGGGCGGGACCGUGGGCGCCGCCUCAGCCCGGCCCUGCGCCUGAGGGGGAGGAUGGGUCUCCUCCUGCCGCCGAGUCCGGCCUCUUGUGAGGACGAAGCUCCGGCGUUGAGGCAGAAUGUCAGGGCAAGCUGUUCUUUAAAGAUGGAAGUUACAAUGAGGGCAAAUUUGUCAAUGGAAAAACUAUGGGGAAUGGAUUUCAAUACUGGGUAUCAGAAUUCUGAGCAGAAAAAAGUCCAUCAAUUGAAGACCUGUACCAGUAAGUUGCUCCAGAAAGUAAUUUCUUUGGUUUCUGUACAGGGAACACUUAGUCCGGUCAGUUUCUGUUUGGAAAGCUCCAUGGACACAAAGUAUUGCAUUAGAAAGAUGGUGGGAAAUAUGAAGAACAGUUCUGUGGAUCAAGAGAAGGGGCAGUGGAGAAAUGACGUGGUCAAUGAACAGGGCGCUAUAGUUGAUUGUUCUGGUGACAUCUGUGAUGGACUGUGGAUCAAUGGCUGCCCUGCUGGUACGUACGUUCAUUAUGCUCUCCAGUUAUUAACAAGUCUUUGACAUAAUACUUUGGUUGUCCCUCUUUUGAUUAAUAUGAUCUGACUAUAGUGU
rnacentral:lncRNA from 1 species